rnacentral:rRNA from 1 species
UACGUAGGGUGCGAGCGUUAAUCGGAAUUACUGGGCGUAAAGCGUGCGCAGGCGGUUCGCCAAGUCAGGUGUGAAAUCCCCGGGCUUAACCUGGGAAUUGCGCUUGAAACUAGCGGGCUUGAGUGUGGCAGAGGGGGGUGGAAUUCCACGUGUAGCAGUGAAAUGCGUAGAGAUGUGGAGGAACACCGAUGGCGAAGGCAGCCCCCUGGGUCAACACUGACGCUCAUGCACGAAAGCGUGGGGAGCAAACA